rnacentral:rRNA from 1 species
CCUACGGGGGGCAGCAGUGGGGAAUAUUGCACAAUGGGGGAAACCCUGAUGCAGCGACGCCGCGUGAGUGAAGAAGUAUUUCGGUAUGUAAAGCUCUAUCAGCAGGGAAGAAAAUGACGGUACCUGACUAAGAAGCCCCGGCUAACUACGUGCCAGCAGCCGCGGUAAUACGGAGGGGGCAAGCGUUAUCCGGAUUUACUGGGUGUAAAGGGAGCGUAGACGGCGGAACAAGUCAGAAGUGAAAACCCGGGGCUCAACCCUGGGAGUGCUUUUGAAACUGUUUGGCUGGAGUGCAGGAGAGGUAAGCGGAUUUCCUCGUGUAGCGGUGCCAUGCGUAGAUCUUCGGAGGAACCCCAGUGGCG